AGUCAUAUGCUUGUCUCAAAGAUUAAGCCAUGCAUGUCUAAGUAUAAGCAAUUAUACCGUGAAACUGCGAAUGGCUCAUUAAAUCAGUUAUCGUUUAUUUGAUAAUACCUUACUACUUGGAUAACCGUGGUAAUUCUAGAGCUAAUACAUGCUGAAAAUCCCGACUUCGGAAGGGAUGUGUUUAUUAGAUAAAAAACCAAUGCCCUUCGGGGCUCCUUGGUGAAUCAUAAUAACUUAACGAAUCGCAUGGCCUUGCGCCGGCGAUGGUUCAUUCAAAUUUCUGCCCUAUCAACUUUCGAUGGUAGGAUAGUGGCCUACCAUGGUAUCAACGGGUAACGGGGAAU
rnacentral:rRNA from 1 species